CCUACGGGAGGCAGCAGUCGGGAAUAUUGCGCAAUGGAGGAAACUCUGACGCAGUGACGCCGCGUAUAGGAAGAAGUUUUUCGGAAUGUAAACCAUUGUCGAUAGGGAAGUGAAAGGACAGUACCUAAGGAGGAAGCUCCGGCUAACUACGUGCCAGCAGCCGCGGUAAUACGUAGGGGGCGAGCGGUAUCCGGAAUUAUUGGGUGUAAAGGGUGCGUAGACGGGAAAACAAGUUAGGUGUGAAAUCCCUCGGCUUAACUGAGGAACUGCAACUAAAACUAUUUUUCUUGAGUGCAGGAGGGGUAAGUGGAAUUCGUAGGGUAGCGGUGAAAUGCGUAGAUAUUAGGAGGAAGACCAGUAGCGAAGGCGACUUACUGGACUGCAACUGACGUUGAGGCCCGAAAGCGUGGGGAGCAAACAGGAUUAGAUACCCGGGUAGUC
rnacentral:rRNA from 1 species